AUUGAACGCUGGCGGCAUGCUUUACACAUGCAAGUCGAACGGUAACAGGCCGCAAGGUGCUGACGAGUGGCGAACGGGUGAGUAAUGCAUCGGAACGUGCCCAGUCGUGGGGGAUAACUGCUCGAAAGAGCAGCUAAUACCGCAUACGAUCUAUGGAUGAAAGCGGGGGACCGUAAGGCCUCGCGCGAUUGGAGCGGCCGAUGUCAGAUUAGGUAGUUGGUGGGGUAAAGGCUCACCAAGCCAACGAUCUGUAGCUGGUCUGAGAGGACGCCCAGCCAACCUGGGAAUGAGACACGGGCCAGACUCCUACGGGAGGCAGCAGUGGGGAAUUUUGGACAAUGGGGGCAACCCUGAUCCAGCAAUGCCGCGUGCAGGAAGAAGGCCUUAGGGUUGUAAAGAUCUGUCGGCCGGGAAGAAAUCGCACAGGCUAAUACCUUGUGUGGAUGACGGUACCGGAAUAAGAAGCACCGGCUAACUACGUGCCAGCCGCCGCAGUAACAC
rnacentral:rRNA from 1 species